GGGGGUAUAGCUCAGCUGGGAGAGCAGCAGACUGAAGUCCCAAAGUUCAUACCACGUUCUUCUGAAGGUCCCGCGUUCGAUCCGCGGUACCCCCA